rnacentral:rRNA from 1 species
UACGUAGGGGGCAAGCGUUGUCCGGAAUUACUGGGCGUAAAGCGUGCGCAGGCGGUUCGGAAAGAGAGGUGUGAAAUCCCAGGGCUUAACCUUGGAACUGCACUUCUAACUACCGGGCUAGAGUACGUCAGAGGGGGGUAGAAUUCCACGUGUAGCAGUGAAAUGCGUAGAGAUGUGGAGGAAUACCGAUGGCGAAGGCAGCCCCCUGGGAUGAUACUGACGCUCAUGCACGAAAGCGUGGGGAGCAAACAGG